UCUCUUAAUUACUUUAGGGUGAU
rnacentral:snRNA from 1 species